rnacentral:tRNA from 3 species
CGGGGCGUGGCGCAGCCUGGUAGCGCGGCGGUUUUGGGUACCGCAGGUCGCUGGUUCGAAUCCAGUCGCCCCGACCA